UGGUGGAGUGAUUUGUCUGGUUAAUUCCGUUAACGAACGAGACCUCGACCUGCUAACUAGUCGAGCCAAGGGUUCGCUCUUGGUCUCUACUUCUUAGAGGAACUGCUGCCGUUCUAGGCAGAGGAAGUACGAGGCAAUAACA
rnacentral:rRNA from 1 species